GCUGCUUUGGUUUCCUGCCUGCUUCUCCCCCUCAUUUUCUCUUCCUCCUGCUUCCCUUGCCUGUCUUCCAGGGGUUCUCAGCCUUUCGUGGUGCAGUGCUGCCUGCUGGGGGCAGGGGAUGGCUGAUGAACCUCCAAUCGCCUCAGCCUCUGCUCCCGGUCCUGACACCUUUGUCACCAUCACUGUGCCAGAAUUGACUGAGUGUGCUUCUGCUUCCUGUGCCAACCAAAGGCAAAGCUCUGUCUGUUGCCAGAGCAGAGCAAGGCAGCUCCAGCCAAGCAGCAGAGAGUGGGCACCUCUCAUGUCCUGCUGGAGAGAGCAAGGACAACAGCUUUGACUUUGAGGAGGCUCUCCCUGGGCAGCAGUCUCCAAAGGGAUGUGGUCCUGCUGCUCAGUGGGAACCAGGGCACAACCUGGCUGGAAAAGUCAUUAAGGUCAUGGAGCCCAACCUCAACCCAGCUCCUCCCCACACCCAGCUCUGGGCUGUGGCCCUCAGCUCCUCAUCCCAAUGAUGGGGACUCCACCACUGCCCUGGGCAGCCUGGGCCAGUUCCCCACCACACUGCUGGUGAAGGACUCUUCCUUCAUAGCUAAUCUAAACCUCUCCCUUUGGCACCCUCCACAGGUCACAUUGGAGCACCCCAGACAUGCAGCUUGGCUUCUUCUGUAACCUAGUCAUGAAUCCAUGGAACAG